CUAGUAUUUCAUUCAACACUGAAAUUGUGGUUCACCUAACAUUUUGCCUCGGCUAUAUACACGAAAUUCAUAGAAAUUUGUAUCUUAGGAAUAAUGAUGAAUCUUAUUUUAAGCCCUUUUGUAAAGGCAUCCAUUAAACAUAAAGUAUAUUUGGUUAAGUGCAGUCCUACUCAGUGAGAUGGAUUUCCCUGGAAAUAAAUUGAUGUAAAUAAAAAGUUGAUAUUAAAAAUAAUUUAAAGGAGACAUAUAUUCGAUCUGAACCUAUUUUUACUACAAAAUCAUUAAUAAAUCAAAUGAAGGCGUAAUAUUGACAGGCAGUAAAAGUGUAAAGUCAACAAUAAAAAAAAAUGUUGUCAGAUUUAUACAAUAAUGAUUAAAUUUUGAAUAUUGAUUUAAUCAAUCACGUUAGGAAGGCAGUUAUACUCAUGAUUUAUGGUAUGUUUCAAAGGUUUGAUGGGUAUUGGUUAAACUUUGUUAUGAAUGAAAUUUUAAUGUGUGUUUGAGUGAGCAAUAUAUAUUUUUAUAACAGUAAGGUAGUCAAUUCUCUAACUGUGAUCAUGUUUAAUAUUUUAUGUAAUGUUCGUCAUCUUGUACGAUGUAUUGGUUACUUCUACAUCAAUGUGACUUGAUGGGUUCCGACAGGAAAAGAUGGCAAAUUUUAGCUGUGUUGUGAUCAAAGCAGGGUUGCGUUCAAUACCAUAGCAGCUACAUAGGGCUACAUAGAUGUAUGACUAUUGAAUAUGUAGCUAGCCUAGCUGCUACAUAGAUAUUGAUGGCAGCUAGGCUAGCUACACGUUCAAUAGUCAUAAAUCUAUGUAGCAUUAUUAAGCUGCUACAAUGUUGAAAGCAACCUAGCUCUAUUCGCAAAGGUUAAUAACUUGUUUAGAUAUUUAGCUCACAUGGACCAUGAGCUUCUACCAUCACUUGAUGUUUAUCAGGAGCAGAUCCAGCCAUUUUAAAAAGGGGGUUUCCAACCAUAUGUCUCUUAAAUGUACUGAUUGUCUAAAAAAAGGGGGGGUAUAACCCCCAGAACACCCUCCUGGAGUCUGUUUAACAAACAACUCUGCAACUGUUCAUUGUCCUCUUCCAUCUUUUUUUCUAUUCACAUCUCAUUCAUAGUUAACUUUUUUAAUGGGUCGCCUUUACAAUGAAACAUAAAAUAUUGCCUGUCACAGUCAGUAUACUAUAUAAGAUUGUUACAUUUCUUUUUAUCAGCCAAAUUGGAAUGGGAUUUUAUUAUCGAACAAGUGUCUACUUUCUCGCUUUUUGUCAGCAAAUGUGAAUAUCAUGCAUUGGUCGGACAGAUAUCUAUUCCAUCUAUAGACUUAACUUGAUUUAAUCUUCAACUGAAUAAGAGUUAUUGGCAUUUUCAUGUCGUUAGUUUUCUAUAAUAAAUUCACAUCAAAUAAUGCGGACUUUGACAGCUAUUUAUAAUUUACCAACCAGCUGUUUGGUAUAUUAUUGAUUUGUCAACUUUUGAUAAGUUCUUUGUCAAUAUUUACAACACAUUUAAUUCUGUGUAAUGAGCAAAGAAAGGUUUUAAGUGAAGACAAAUUAAUCUGAGACUUCAAAGUUAUUGCGUUAGUUUUAGGUUCAUUUCUCAGAAAUAAUUGAGAAGUUAUUGAAGACCCAGACUACCAUUUUUUAUUUGUUUUCAAAUGAAAGAGAGAAAACUUUAUUUUGUGAAAUAUAUAUUUAAAUACUCAUAUGAAUUCAACUAGUUGGACACAGUCUCCCUUUUGCAUUUGACAGUAAAUGAAUGGGUUCAGCAAUAGAUUAAAAGAAAUGGGGUGACGCUGGGAUCCAAAAUGUUUUGCAAAGGUGAUACCUGACUCUAAGGUUUUAUCAGGUCUUCAACUUUUGAAUUAAGUUUUGGACUUUCAACAAAUUUUGCUUCAAACAUGGAUUAAGAUACAUUAUUUGUUGAAAAUGUGCAUAUGGUGACGUAAAAUUGGUACCAUUAAUUUGACUGUGCCAGAAAUAAUACUGUGCCUGCAUUUGUAUUCAGCCCAUCAUGAGACAUUGUUGUAGCAUGUACCGUACAGUUAGGUUCAUUCCAGGUGUUUUGUAAAUAUUUUGUAGUAUAUUUAUGUUUUAGUUUCUUAUGUUUGUUUCAAACAGUUGUAUUUUUUGAUGAUUCUAUAUACUCACUUUUAUUUCGUCAUUGCCAGUUUUAUCAAAGUUCCAUAAUCUUGGAAAUUUUAGAAAGAAGCAUUUUUUUUUUACAAUAGGAAUAUCGAUGAUUGUUGUGUGAUGAAUUAAAUGUAAUUUUAUUCAUCCUUGAAUUUAAGUACUAAAUUAUCUUGUAAAAAAAUCAAUUAUAUUCUCACUUUAUACUCAUAAUUUGAAAUUGAUCUGAAUAAAUGAGAUGGACGAAAUGUAAGUAAAACAGUGGCAGCUGUAUAUAUUAUCAUGACGUCAAUUAUAGAAUUGACAAUUAAAGGGGGGAUAGACCUCGAAUAAAUCUUUAAAUACUCUUUUAAAUUAGGAAUGUGCUUGUCAUAGGCAAUUCUGUAUUGUUUAAAGACAAUGUAAAAGCCUUCAUAUGAAACGGAAUUCAAAAUAACGUAAGAGACUAGAAAAUUUUUGACAAGAGGGAUCUGAUAUGGUUCAGUGCAAACCUGAAAUAUAUACCAUACAUUUUUAUGCAUUUAUUUUGUGACAGAGUUUUUAAAAUGCUUUCACACAAAUUUUUAAAUGAGAUAAGCAUAAUAGUUUUAUUUUCUAGAAUAUAUGAAUGCUUUAGCGUAAGCAAAUCAUUUUAAAACUUGAAUAUAAUAAGUUGAAAGACAAUUUCAUGAUAUUGCAGUAUCAUUAAAAUCAAAUCAUAUCAAAUCAUUCUCAGUGGGACCAUACAUACUAUAUUGUUUUUAAAUUGGAGGUCAUUUCUUCGUUACUUUGGUAGUUUGAAACAAUGUCUUGAUUUGAAGAUUGUGUUAAAUUUAAAUGAUAUCAUCUACUUAUGUUUCAUAAAAUAUUUAUAGAUCUUUUAGCAAUAAUCACCUUGUUUAACUAUAACAGUAAACAAAAUUUUUAAAGAUUAUAAACUAAGGAAUUGUGUCUAUUGGUGGUUACUUUGCACAAUUUUUAGAACUUUAACAAAUAGAAUAAAUUUAAGAUCACAGUAAUGGAUUGAACAUCAUUUACUGCUAAUUACAUGCAAGACUUUAUCCAGCAUAUGAUAUAUGUGGAUGUACAUGUAUAUACCUUAAAAAAUCAUUUUGGUCAAAAUGCAUUAUCAGUUCCAACCGUGUUAAUUACAUCAAGACACAGUCAGGUCACAUUUUUGUACAAAAUGUUGUGUUUAAAGUGCUAAAAAAAAUAUUCAGGUUGUAAAAUUUCCAGAUGUAUUAAUUAUUGUUAGUAUGCAUAUUAUUUAAUAUUUAACAUUGAAGUACACAUUAUUUUUGUACUAAGAUUGUAUAAAAAAAGAAUAGUUAUUUUUGUGGAACAUGUACUUCUAAAUUCCUUGAAGAAAGACGAUCCUCUAUUAGCAUGGUUAGCUGAGGAACAGUAGCACUAAAGUCUUAUAAUAUUAUUUUUUUUUGGCUCGUUUAAUUUUCAUAAAAUUUUGACGAAGUAUUUACUUUGACCCUUUGACAAAAAUAUGAAAAUUUCAAAAAAUUUGAACCAACCAUUUUAUCAGAAAAAUAACACUAGUUAUAUAGCAGUUUGACAAACUCCUAUUUUGAUCGUUGAGAAGCUUAAUAUUCCCUUAACUACACAACGUAAUAAAAAAACGUUUAGCUGAUUUUAUAGAGUUAUCUCCCUGUAGUGUUAGGUACCACCUUAAAUGGUUUUGGAUUUCUAUUGCAGGUUGAAAAAAAUAACUUUUUUUAUAGAAUAUUAGAGGAAGAUUUGUGACUUGAAACAAUGUAUAUCAUAUUCAUAUUAUUUAAUUAUGUUGCCAUAGCAGUUUGGGAAAUCGCAGAAUUCUGCAAAUUACUUCUACAUAAGCUGAUGGCAUUAUAACGGAUAUAUUUUUUUUGACCUUAUUUUGGGUAAAGUUUUUGUCUAUAUUGGCAUAUAUAAAAAUGAAGUCAAAUGAAAAGAAUUAAAAAAAUAAAAAUUUUGAGCUGCAGAAAGUGACUUGUUAUGAAAAUUUGUCAGCAUUGUGAAUUCUGAGAUUUCUCAUACUGACAAGUUACAGGGUAAAAUUAUAAUCAUCAGGUGUAAGCUUGUCAUAUGAUAGCUAAAAAGGGAGUGCAUUUAAUAAUUUUUAUUAUGCCAAAUUUGAUACUUGUACACACAAAAAAAAACACGCUUUUUCUUGUCAAUAAGGAAACUGCAUAGUUAAACCCUAUCAAUUUUACCAGACAUUGGUUUGGUAUCCAUUACUGAACCAAAAAUGCUGUUUUUCAUGGUCCACAUUUUAAAAUAGUACCAAGAAUGCUUAUAUCUGGAAAAUUUCGGUCAAAUCUUUUUUUGAUAAAAAGAAAGUCCUCGUGGUUGUUGUUAAGAUAUACUGCUGAUUUGUAUUUGGUAGCUACAUGUGUAUAAGCCAUCCCUUUGUCUAACCUAGUUGCAUGGUAUUUUGAAUAUUUUUUUUUCUAUUCAAAAAGUCCCUUUAUAGUACUGUGAUUGUGGGGCACAACUGGUGCCCUUUGUCUUUAUAUGUUUUAGGAUGGGUAACAGAAAUAUCUUUCAAUUGUAAUAUACCUAACAUGCCUAACAAUACUCUUUCUUUCCACAAAUUUUAAGUUCUAGGCUUAGAUUUAUGAUUUAAAUACUUUGCCAUUUUUAUGAUGAAAAGUGAUAUUAUCAUCUCCAAAUUCUUACGAUCACAAUUGCUAUAUUUAAACUAAUGAAAAGGUAAAUUUAUUUAAACUGUGGAUCCCUUUACUUGUGUGUGUAACAAUUUCAGUGGAUUGGUGAAAACUCUAUUUUCAUGGAUAUUUGAUUUUAUGAUUUCUCCAAUUCUGCAACAAAAAUAGUUACCCCGUAAAUAAUAACAAAUCCAUAGUAUUAGAAUAAAUGUAUCACUUUUAAAACUGAACAAGUAAGAUGAAUAAUAAGUAAAUGUUGUGUUAAUCCUAUAACAUGUAUAAGUGCAGCUUGUACCAGAAAUCCAGUAGAAAGUACUUUCUCUCAGGAAUUUUUACUGGAACUGAUCAUAAGUGUUGAUAAAUGUAUAACUAGCCACAGUGUGUGUACCAACAUGUAUAACUAGCCACGGUGUGUUUACCAACAAUUUUAUUUCUUAGAUUAGACAUUCCAAUUAUUUUAGGGCUAUUCCAGAAAAAAAUGUAUGGGAGGGUUGGAAGGCAGUUUUUGUCAGCACCCACCACCCAGACAAUUGUAAUUGAGAAUUAUAGUGCAUUAUAGCGUAAAAAGUUGCUCUGAUACCCAUCACCCAUGUAUUAUUUUACAAAGUGCCUUCCAACCCCCCCAUACAUUUUUUUCUGGAAUAGCCCUUAUGUAACUUAUGAAUUAUAUUUGUAUAUUUCUGUUUUAAAGGUGUAUAUUUCUUUUAGCAGUGACAUCAAUCUAGCAGAAGGUUCAAUUUAGUAUAAUAGUAUGGGUGGAUUUUCAAAUUUAAGAGUACUGUGGAUUCAUUAUUAUUCGUUGUAUACCGAUUUUUCGUAAGUUUCUUGGGUACAGGUGAAUUAGGAAUUCAAAUGUUUAACGAAAUUCAAAUUUCUGUAAAGUUGUAUCCAUACUUGUCACAUAUCCACGAAAAUACAAGUUUUCUGCAAUCCACAAAAAUUGGUGCCCACGAAAAAUAACUGAAUCCACAUUAUAUGCUGUGACAUUAACUGUUGUAAAUAUAAAGCUUCAAUCCGCUUUGUUUAACCCAUAUUUAAAGCAAUUAAAUAACAUAUAGCAAAUUUUUCACAGACAACACUUUUUGUAUGUAUGAAGGGUCUUGACAUGUAGUUUAGCUGUGUAGAUUUAACAAUGAAAUUUUCAUACAAUUUUUGUUAAAAUUAGCAUUUUGCCAUUGAAAUAGUAUAUUAAGUCACAACAGACGACCUCAGAAUUGCUUCCGUAAUUAGUUACAUUCAACACAAAACUAUAUCAGGAUAUCAUUGAUAACUCCAAAAAUUGGUGCAUGUGGUGUAAACAGUCCUUCUGACCUCAUUCUUUUAAUUUCAUCCAAUAUUUGUGCAAUAAUUCAACUUACCGUGGAGUUUAAUGAACAUAAGAUAGAAAUAAUUUUAUUGUGAAAAUUCCCUUUUACAAAGAAUGGUUAUUUUUGGAAAUCAAUUAUUGUUGAUUUUCAUUUGCUAACCAUGCAAAUCCUAGUUAUGAAGACAAAAGAUUUACUAAAAUUUAGGCAUACAACAUUUUUUUUUCUUCCAUGAUAUUUUUAAUUUGCUUAAUAUUCAAUUUAUCUUUUAACCUGUGUUCACUUUUUCUGUGCAUUAUUUAUGGUUAAGUGUAAUAUAUUUAUUUAAUAUUGUAAUAUGUAACAUAUAUUUUAUUGGAGAGAGUGUUAAGCUUGUAUAUAUCUAGACUGAUUGAGGGCAUUAACUCAUUACGGAUUGUAUAUAUGGAAUGCAUUUUUUUCAAGGUCAUGAAUAAAUGUGUGUGAGUGAGAUACAUUUCAUCUUUUUAUGUGUAGUAUGAUAUAACUAUGACGAUAUGGAAAAAACAAAUUAAAAAAAUGAUACACAGUGAUUUUGUCUUAUUCAAUUGUAACACAUUUGUCUCUAGAAGAUGAUGAUGAUACACUGAUUAAAAUACCGAUCAUGUGCCGUUGCUUCACUUACAAGGAUCUGACAACAUUCUGUUCUACUUGCCGUUUUAAAAA
rnacentral:lncRNA from 1 species